CUCGUGGACAACCUUAAUUGAAAUAGCUGUAUAUCAUAUAGAAAUAAUAGAUAUAGAAUGCGUACUUGAUCACAAAUCAUGUAUCCACCUUUUCUCAUGCGUGGCCUUGUAAACCCGCCAUUUUGUGGAGACAAAAUGUUUACUGAGAAGAGAUAUACGCGAGCACGCAUGCUGUAUCUAUUAUUUCUACGUAAUAGAUAAACAAAAUCAAAAUUUU